rnacentral:lncRNA from 1 species
CGCCACCAUUUUGUGCCACCCUUUUUGCCCCCUGCCGCCAUUUUGUGCCACUGUCUUGCCCCCGCCACCAUUUGCUGCUGCUGUUUUGUCCCCUGCCGCCAUUUUGUGCCACGAUGUCACCCUGCCGCCAUUUUGCGCUGCUGUUUCGCCCCCCGCUGCCAUUUUGUGCCCUCGUUUCACCCCCGGCUGCCAUUUUGUGCCCUCGUUUCACCCCUUGCCAUCAUUUUGUGCCCUCCUUUCGCCCCCCCCGCCGCCAUUUUGCACCACUGUUUCGCCCCGGCUGCCAUUUUGUGCCCUCAUUUCGCCCCCCGCCACCAUUUUGUGCCCUCGUUUCGCCCUUUGCCGCCAUUUUGCACCACCGUUUCUCCCCGGCUGCCAUUUUGUGCCCUCAUCUCCCCCGCCGCCGCCAUUUUGCGCCGUUGCCGUUGCGCCGCUGACGGCGCGGUGCCGCCGCCGCUCCCUUGGUCCCCGCCGCAGGCUUCUUCCUCCUGGGGGGCGCCUGCGUGGCGCAGGGCAGCGCCUCGUCGCUGCUGAGCCUGCUGCGGCUGC